rnacentral:rRNA from 1 species
UAGGGAAUCUUCGGCAAUGGACGAAAGUCUGACCGAGCAACGCCGCGUGAGUGAAGAAGGUUUUCGGAUCGUAAAACUCUGUUGUUAGAGAAGAACAAGGACGUUAGUAACUGAACGUCCCCUGACGGUAUCUAACCAGAAAGCCACGGCUAACUACGUGCCAGCAGCCGCGGUAAUACGUAGGUGGCAAGCGUUGUCCGGAUUUAUUGGGCGUAAAGCGAGCGCAGGCGGUUUCUUAAGUCUGAUGUGAAAGCCCCCGGCUCAACCGGGGAGGGUCAUUGGAAACUGGGAGAAUUGAGUGCAGAAGAGGAGAGUGGAAUUCCAUGUGUAGCGGUGAAAUGCGUAGAUAUAUGGAGGAACGCCAGUGGCGAAGGCGUCUCUCUGGUCUGUAACUGAAGCUGAGGCUCGAAAGCGUGGGGAGCAAACAGG